ensembl:lncRNA
AUCCAAUCUGUCUUGCUACCUUGCAUUUAGCUGAAAAAGUGUAUUGUGAUUAUGAUAAUGGGGAGAUGAGAGGCAGACCUGCUUAACCUCUGGAUAGCAGCGUUGAGUUCCAGCUCUGGUACUUUUCAGUUAGAUGCUUUCCUCCCACAGAGCUCCUGGAAGGCUGGAUGACACUGUGGAUAAAACCGCUUCCUCUUUCUACCCUGCCAGAGAGUCUUAUAACUGAAAGACCCUUGAAGAAGCUACAAUGGGAGGCAGGAUUGUUUGGGAACAACACAAAGAUUUAAUUUGGAUUUAUGGAUGUUCAGAACCUCUGAAAAUUACCCAAAAGUCAUUACAAUGUUAGAGACUGUCUGAGGAGACUGUCCUUUCCCUUCUCUAGAGCAAAGGAUAGCCGUAUUCUCCUUUAUCCCAAGAAUGACAAAGACCAUUUCAUUAACACCUCUGAAGCUCUGGAGCUACCACACAUGUAUCACUGUGGUCUGGAACAGAGAAAGAAGAGAGAGUAGCCUUCUCAAAUACAACAGGGAGAAGAGCAGGAUCAGAGAAAGCGAAUCACAGAAUAAAGACAUUUUUCUUUGCAUCUUCAACAUGCAGAUCUUCCUCCAUUCCUGCUUCAUCUCCCACAAUAUCAUCACCCGCUCACUGGCAGCAGCCGUUCAUGCCCACACAGCUUCCAAAAUGGGUUCUCCUCCAUUCAGUUCCUGUUUCCCUCAACAAAGAUCUCCUCCCUUUUUGCCCCAAAUAAUACUCUAGAAGGAACUCCUCACAAAAGAUCCUCUCUCUGUGAAUGGUGAUAACUCACAAAAGUACACAAACAUCACCCUCAUUAGUAACUAUGUGCUCCAUAUGCAGUCCUGUGGUUGCUUUCCAAAUUAAAGCCCCCCAGUUUCAUUCCCAGUUUCUGUUUUUCUUCAUUCUUGUUUGUGCAAGAUAAGGCUGACAAAAAGCAAAAGGGUCUGGAGUCUGGAGAAUUUUGUCAAACUCCACAGCAAUGAGAGAACCUCAGGUGUGCGCACACCCCCAACCCCCCNCCCCUUGGAAAGGAAGGAGAUGAAGAAAUAGCUGAAGGGUAAGGAUGGGCACUGCAGGAGCUCUAGUUAUCCAUCCUUUGUAUACAGAGGGUAAAGGCAUGUUUUUUUGCUAAAGCAGGGGGAGGCAGAGUGCUGGGAAAGCAAGUGAAGUAGAUGAUUUCACUCAGAUAAGUUUUUCCUGCAUAUGCCUAGGAAGGCAGAGAGACUUACAGUCUAUAGGACAUUAGGGAAGGCUGGAAGCUCUACAGAGUGACUUUCUGAAGAGAGAUAAGCCCUCAUAUUAUUAACAAGCCCUACAUUAUCGUGCAUAUGAUAGCAUUAGGCAAGUUGUUAGUCCCAAGCACACUCUAUUCAAGCUGUUUGCAGCCUGAAAAGCCUGCAUAUACCUCUGACUUGCACAUGGCCUCUCUGUGCUCAGGAAUCCAACGUAAGGUUUAUAUCAUCCCACACAGAGGUGCAGAUGUCGGCUUCCCAGGGCAGCAAUAACGUGUCUCCUUUCUAGUAAGUUAUGUUGUUUUCCUAGCAUCUCCUCUGAAGUCACUCUGGCUGCUCCUGGUUCUUCCACAUCUCUAUACGCCAUACAAUCACACAUUCUGUUCCCUUUGAGAAUUUUUGACUGAAAACUCUCUGAAUGUUAUAAGAUAUAUCUGUCCAGAUUUUGAACUUGCCUAAACUGGCAGAGCUCACUCCGGAGUGAGUGUUUUACUUCUACACAGGAUCCGUCUCAUGCUAUCUUACCAGCAAAGGUAACACUUUUCAUAGUACAGUUGUUACAUUGGUCAUGUAGAAAAAUAGCUGCAAACUAUAGUAAUUUAGAGUGGAAAUGGGGGCAUAGAAAUUAGUAAAACUUGUUUGUUCUCUCAAAGUGUUAUAUUUUGACCUGCCUCAGUAAGCUAGCAAUUACAGAGCAGUAUAAGCAGCCAGCAUGAGCCUAGGUACUCACACAUGUAACUUACGGUCCUUGUUGAGACGUGACUCCAGUAUUAUAUGCCCUGUUCUACUGAAUUAAUUGAAAUUACUCCCAACUUACACUACCAUAAACGAGAGUGGAGUUAGGUUUAACAUGAAUAUGCAGCCCUAUGCAUAUGCAAUUAUACUAUGUAUUGAUAUAUGUGUGCAUAGAUUACCUAUGCAUGGAGUGCACAUACUGUUGUUCUUAUAAAUCAGCAGAUUCAGAUAAAAUAAAUAUUUUUCUAGAAAAGGGCUUGUGUGAUGUCUAUAAUUAAAAAUAAUAAUUUUGGAAUUAAAAUGAGAAUUCUGAUUGAAAUCUUUUUGCCUGCUCAGUUUUGCUGCAGUGCAAGUUGCUCAGUACGGAUCUUAACAA